rnacentral:rRNA from 1 species
CCAGACUCCUACGGGAGGCAGCAGUGGGGAAUAUUGGGCAAUGGGCGCAAGCCUGACCCAGCAACGCCGCGUGAAGGAAGAAGGCUUUCGGGUUGUAAACUUCUUUUAAGAGGGAAGAGAAGAAGGCGGUACCUCUUGAAUAAGCCACGGCUAACUACGUGCCAGCAGCCGCGGUAAUACGUAGGGGGCAAGCGUUAUCCGGAUUUACUGGGUGUAAAGGGCGUGUAGCCGGGCUUACAAGUCAGAUGUGAAAUCCGGGGGCUCAACCCCCGAACUGCAUUUGAAACUGUAGGUCUUGAGUAUCGGAGAGGCAGGCGGAAUUCCUAGUGUAGCGGUGAAAUGCGUAGACAUUAGGAGGAACACCAGUGGCGAAGGCGGCCUGCUGGACGACAACUGACGGUGAGGCGCGAAAGCGUGGGGAGCAAACAGGAUUAGAUACCCCCGUAA